GGGUCAGUAGGUUGGUCGUGCCACCGGUACGUACUGGUCUCACUGAUUCCUCCUUCCUGAAGAACCGUGAUGCCAUUAAUUUGGUGUUGCGGGGAAACAGGACUGUUACUUUGAAAAAAUUAGAGUGUUUAAAGCAAGCUAACGCCUGAAUACAUUAGCAUGGAAUAAUGAAAUAGGACGAUCGAUCCUAUUUUGUUGGUUUCUAGGAUUGACGUA
rnacentral:rRNA from 1 species